rnacentral:rRNA from 1 species
CUCAUGAUAAAGUCAUUGACUUCAAGUAAAGGUGCAGCUUAUAGAAAAGAAAGAGGUGGGUUACAUUUAAAAGAAUAAAACGGAUAAGGUGAGUGAAAAAACCUUUGAAGGUGGAUUUAACUGUAAAACUUAAGAAAGUUUGGUGGGAGCUCUAUCUUGUG